UGAUGCAGCGACGCCGCGUGAGGGAUGAAGGCCUUCGGGUUGUAAACCUCUUUCAGCAGGGACGAAGCGUGAGUGACGGUACCUGCAGAAGAAGCACCGGCUAACUACGUGCCAGCAGCCGCGGUAAUACGUAGGGUGCGAGCGUUGUCCGGAAUUACUGGGCGUAAAGAGUUCGUAGGCGGUUUGUCGCGUCGUUUGUGAAAACCCGGGGCUCAACUUCGGGCUUGCAGGCGAUACGGGCAGACUUGAGUGUUUCAGGGGAGACUGGAAUUCCUGGUGUAGCGGUGAAAUGCGCAGAUAUCAGGAGGAACACCGGUGGCGAAGGCGGGUCUCUGGGAAACAACUGACGCUGAGGAACGAAAGCGUGGGUAGCAAACAGGAUUAG
rnacentral:rRNA from 1 species